rnacentral:rRNA from 1 species
GGGCAAGUCUGGUGCCAGCAGCCGCGGUAAUUCCAGCUCCAAUAGCGUAUAUUAAACUUGUUGCAGUUAAAAAGCUCGUAGUUGAAUUUCUGCGUCACCGUAUUUUGACUUUUGUCGACUGUCGGUUUCGCUUUUGGGAUUUAUCCCUUUUUACUUUGAGAAAAUUAGAGUGUUUCAAGCAGACUUUUGUCUUGAAUACUUCAGCAUGGAAUAAUAGAGUAGGACUUUGGUUCUAUUUUGUUGGUUUGUGAACCUUAGUAAUGGUUAAUAGGAACGGUUGGGGGCAUUCGUAUUUAACUGUCAGAGGUGAAAUUCUUAGAUUUGUUAAAGACGAACUACUGCGAAAGCAUUUGCCAAGGACGUUUUCAUUAAUCAAGAACGAAAGUUAGGGGAUCGAAGACGAUCAGAUACCGUCGUAGUCCUAACCAUAAACU